AGUAUUGUGCCGGAAUCAAACGGGUUACUCUGAUGACGUAAAUCAUGGCCACCACGCCCAAUACUU
rnacentral:tRNA from 1 species